rnacentral:lncRNA from 1 species
GGCUCUGACCUGGUUCUUCUGGCUGCUCUCUCUCCAUCCGGAAGUGGAGCGGAAGAUCUUGAGCGAGCUCGAGAAAAUCCGGAAGCAAAGCGGGAAGAGUUCUGGCGACCCGUACAGUAUCCAUGAACUGAGGGACAUGCACUACCUGCACGCGGCCAUCUCGGAGGCGAUGCGGUUGUAUCCGCCUGUGCCGGUGGACACAAAGGCCUGCCUGGAGGACGACGUCUUGCCGGACGGGACCUUCAUUGGGAAGGGCUGGUUCCUUUCGUAUGACACGCACGCGAUGGGAAGGAUGGAUGGGAUAUGGGGUGAGAACUGCCACGAGUUUGUCCCCGAGAGGUGGAUCGACGAGAGCGGGUUGUGCCGGACGGAGAGCCCGUUCAAGUACCCAGUUUUCCACGCGGGCCCGAGGAUGUGCCUCGGGAAGGACAUGGCGUUCAUCCAGAUGAAGUCGAUUGCCGCCUCCGUGCUGGAGAGGUUCGAGAUCGACGUGCUGGGUCAAGACGCGACCCGCGAGCACCAGCUGUCAUUGACGCUGAGGAUGAAGGGUGGACUUCCCGUGAGGGUGCGGAAGAGAUGCAUGGACUGAUAUCCUCCAUUGAGCUGCUGGUUGGCAAGAACAAAAUGGAUUCGCAAGCAUGUGAUGUAUAUGAAUAAUCUGUGUUUGUUUUUCUUACCGCGUAUUUAACUUUCUCAAAAGUUCCCAUGGUGGAAGCAAAGCUAAAGCAUUCCUUAAUCUCGACGAGACACCGCCUCUGGUGCCAAUAGCCAGAUGCAUCGAUCCAUGGAUAGAUCGAUCAAGCAUUUUGGAUCUCCAGAUACAACAAAGUUGCGCUUAGAGAAAUUUCGAAUAGGCAGUACGAUCGUGAAAUCCAAAGCAUAUGCUCCUUUUUUCAACCCUCUUCAUAAGGAUUAGGUUCGCAGUAUCAUACAUUUUAGAGUUCAUUGUGAUGAACGAGCUUAAGAUGUAAUGAGGUAAAUGUUUCGUGAGACGGUAGAUUGUACCAAUGAGCUUACACCGACAAGAGAUUGUAGAUUUCCUAAGGCAGUGAAAUUAAGGUUGAUUGUAAAAAAAUUUGUCAAGAGUUAACAUGGAUCAACUUCAUUCAUUGAUAUAAUCAACCAAACCAGUCACGAUGUCAUUGUCCUAGUUGAGAAGCAGAGUACUGAUAGAUUCCCAAUCGACACCGAACGCCCCUGGCCUUACCGGCAACUGUAUAUAUACGUGCAUAUAUGUAGUUUCAUCCAAAUUCAGGAAAUUGUGUCAUCACUCCUUUUGUAAGCCUCGCCCGAUAUGAUGCUUCUCUUCAUUGUACAAAAGCCUCUUACUUCUCCCUCAUUUCCCCCCUCUAUCUUUACUUCUGUUACCACACUACUGCAGCUCGAAAGAAGAUCGUUAGCAAUGGAGGUCUGAUGAAUUACCCUUCCAAUAGGGUGCCUGCCAAGGUUCGUCAAGAACAUGCGUCGUGUCCUUGAUUGGAUCUCCAUGAUACUCGCCGCUAGCCCCACCAAAUCCGCCAUCUUUCGGCGUGCCAACCCAAGUUUUGAUGGUGUUUCCUUCGAAUGUGGGGCACGUCCUUAAGACUCGCUUCAAUCGCUGUCCACAAGGCGACUGAUUCAGAUUGCUCCUCCACGAUGUGUUUGGAGAUGGUCUCUUCAUUGCCGAUGGGGACCUCUGGAAGUUACAGAGGAAGAUGGCAAACAACGAGUUCAACUCCAAGUCGCUCCGUAGUUUGCCAUGGAUAAUGUGGCGAUAGAGAGGAGCACAGGGUUGCUUCCACUCUUAUGAAGAACUGUCUCGAGAACAGGCCGAGUAUUGACCUCGUAAGAAGUUCUGAUUAUUUCGCUUUCAAUAACAUUUGCGAAAUGGCAUUCAAUGUAUACCCUGGUUUACUACGUGGCAAGGGAAUUACGACUUCAGACUUUACGAUAGCAUUCGACAGCGCUAAUUAUCUCCUACCAUUCAUGUGGAAGGUAAAAAAGAUCCUCAAAAUCGGAACGGUGCAAGAGCUUAAGAACUGCAUCUCCAUUGUCCAUGAAUGCAUGGAAAACAUCGUCCUGUCGAGAUUGGCAGGAAACAGAGGAACAAACAAAGGUUUGCUAUCUCUGCGGCUCUUGCUCUUUUCUGGGCUGCACGGUGUAAUCUUCCUUGGCGUAAUAGGCCUUGGGUAGAGACCAUCCGUUGGGCCCUGAGAUUCCUCUCUAGUAAGGAUUUUUUCCACUCCAUUGCUCGGUUUUCUUUUAGAGCCUUGUGCCACUUAAUCUGGAAGAAAAUGAACAGCAUCAUCUUUCGUGGCGAAGCGCUGGAGGUCUCUGCUUUGAAGGAGCACAUUAUCAAAGUCGUUAAGGAUAAAAUUCUUACCUUCAGAAAGGUGCCGAACAACCAUAGAAACAAGCAGCUUCAACAUGGGUGGGGUUUUGACCCUUCUGUUUUUGACGAAACUGUUGGAUUAUAAUGUCUCAGUUGCUGUUUUCUGUUUUGUUUUUUUACUCUGUUUUCUGCUGUUUUCUGUUCUGUUUUCUGCUCUGUUUUACUCUGUUUUUUUAUUAAAAAAACAGCCAAGUUCAAUUUAGUUAUUUAUUUAGUGUUUUUGUUAUUUUCUAGGAAGUUAAUAGCACGUUUGUGUGUAGUUAUGUGUUGCACGUACGUGAGCAGUUUUUGCUUUGUUUAAGUUGUCAUGUACUUGACAGUUUCCUUAAGAACAGACGUAUGCAAGUUUGUGUUCUGUUUCUCUACGCUUCUCUUCCUCAUCUAAAAAAUAUAGCUUCUGGUUUUCUAUUUUCUUGUUUACUGUUUUGAUCAGUAACAACAUUGGUAUCAGAGCGUUUGUGGGAUCUUAAGGGACUGUGAAGUGAGGGUAAUUGAGUGAAGAUUGCUUCCGAUUUGCAAAGAAAAAGCUUAUGGAGGUAGGAUCGAGUGGAUUCUCUGCAAUGGCAACUCCAGUCUUUUCUUGGGAAAAUUAUCAGGCUUGGGCUGUCAAGAUGACGGCAUUCUUGGAGGGUCAUGAUUUAUGGGAGGCUGUGGAGGAUGAUUAUGAGGUUGCUCCACUUCCAGACAAUCCAACCUUGAAUCAGAUAAAGUACCAUAAAGAGAGAAUCACAAGGAAGGCCAAGGCAAAGUCAUGCCUGUACGCUGCUGUUUCACCCACUAUCUUCACAAGGAUCAUGAGAUGUGAUUCUGCAAAAGCAAUAUGGGAUUUCUUGAAGGAUGAAUACGAGGGAGAUGAGAAGAUAAGAGGCAUGAAGGUGCUGAAUCUCUUGAGGGAGUUUGAGAGACAGCAGAUGAAGGAUUCAGAGUCAAUGAAGGAGUACUCUGAUAGGUUGGUUGGGAUAGCUGAAAAAAUCAGAGUUUUAGGGACUGACUUGAAGGAUGAAAGGCUUGUUCAGAAGAUCCUGGUGUCUCUUCCAGAGAAGUUCGAAGCCACCAUAGCGUCUCUGGAAAAUACAAGAGACUUACCUGAUAUAAAGCUUGCAGAAUUGUUAAAUGCUCUGCAGGUACAGGAGCACAGAAGACUGAUGAGAAGAGAAGAGUUUGUAGAGGAUGCGUUGCAAGCUAGAGUGAAGUCAAAUGAUAGAGGCAAAGGGAAGAAAUGGAUUCAGUCCAGAGAAAAUGCCGGUGACUCCAAGUUUGUAGCAAAAGAAGGAAAUUCUGGUGGGUCUAGCAAAUGGAAGAUGAACAAAAAGCCUUGUCAAUACUGUGGUGGAACUAAUCAUCAGUUUUUUAGAUGUUGGAGAAAGCCUGAUGCUAGAUGCAGAAGAUGUCACAAGUUGGGUCACAUGGAAGCCAUCUGCAAAGAAAAAAAUUACCAGCAAGCAGGAAAAGCACAGGUAGCAGUGAAUGAAACUGAGGAAGAGCACUUGUUUGUAGCUUCUUUUUCUGAAUCUUUUGUUGGGAAUGAUGCAUGGCUGGUGGAUAGUGGCUGUACCAAUCAUAUGACUGGCAAUUCGAAGCUGUUUAGGAGUCUAGACAGGUCAAUCAGGUCCAGAGUCAGAAUUGGCAAUGGACAGUAUAUCGAAGUGCAAGGGAAGGGUACAGUGGCUAUUGAAGGAAAUCAGGAGGUGAAGUUGAUCAGUGAUGUUCUCUUUGUGCCAAAUAUUGACCAUAAUCUGUUAAGUGUUGGUCAAUUAGUUGAGAAGGGCUAUAAAGUGAAGUUCGAAGGGAAUGAAUGUCUUAUUAAUAAUGCAGAUAGCAAAGAAGUGCUAAGAAUUUCAAUGGAGGACAAGAGUUUCAUGUUCAAGCCACAAGAGAUGCAACAAAUGGCUUUAAAGUGCAAAAAAGAAAAUGCAGAGAUAUGGCAUAAAAGACUUGGGCAUGUUCACAGGAAAAGCAUGUUGUUUAUGCAGAAAAAUAGCUUGGCAGAUGACUUGCCAAGUUUGGAUGAGGAAUUUCCACAGUGCAAAACUUGUCUUCUUGGCAAGCAAGUCAGAUUUCCUUUCAAAGGAGGAGGCUGGAGAGCAUGUGAGAAGCUGCAAUUAGUCCACACAGAUUUAUGUGGACCUAUGUCUGAGUCUUCUCUCAAUGGUAGCAGGUAUUUCAUUACCUUCACUGAUGAUAUGACUAGGAUGAGUUGGAUUUAUUUUCUGCAAGCCAAGUCUGAAGUUGCUGAUGUGUUUGUGAAGUUUAAAGCCUUAGUUGAGAAUCAGAGUGGGAAGAAAAUUAAAAUGCUCAGGUCUGAUAAUGGUUCUGAGUAUACUGCUCACAAGUUUAAGUUGAAUUGUGAGCAAGAAUUGUGCAGCAGUUCACUGCUCCCUAUUCACCUCAACAGAAUGGGGUCAGUGAGAGGAAAAAUAGAAGUAUUAUGGAGAUGGCCAGAUGUAUGAUGCAGGAAAAGAUGUUGCCUAAGAAGUUCUGGGCUGAGGCAGCUAAUACUGCAGUGUUCUUGUUGAACAGAUUGCCCACAAAGGCCUUAGAGAGGUCAACACCUUUUGAAGUCUGGUAUGGUGUUAAACCUUCUGUGAAAAAUUUAAAGGUUUUUGGGUGUUUGUGUUACACUCAUGUUCCUGAGGUCAAGAGGGACAAGUUGGAUAAAAGAGCUGAGCUUGGAAUCUUCAUUGGGUACAGUCUCCAAUCAAAGGCUUACAUGAUUUUUCACCCUAUGACAGGGAAGGUGACUGUAAGCAGAGAUGUUGUUUUUCUAGAGGAAGAUGAGUGGAAUUGGAUGGAAGGAAAGAGUGCAGAAAAGCAGCAGUUCGAAAAACAACCUGCAACAGAUGUAGAGGUUGAUGAAGUUAUUGAUGGAUUGGAAGACAGUGUGGAUGAUUUACCAGUGAGGGGCACAAGGUCACUUGCUGAAAUCUAUGAAAGAAGCAAUGUGGCAAUGCUCGAACCAUCUAACUUUGUGGAAGCUAAGGAGGAUCAGAGGUGGAUUGCAGCAAUGCAGGAGGAGAUUGCAAUGAUCCAGAAAAACCAUACAUGGGAGCUUGUUGACAGACCAUCUGAUAAGAAUGUGAUUGGGGUUAAGUGGGUGUUUAGAACAAAACUUAAUCCUGAUGGUUCUAUCAAUAAACACAAAGCUAGACUGGUGGUGAAAGGCUAUGCACAAAUAUGGGGAGUAGACUAUUCUGAAACAUUUGCUCAUGUUGCACGACUUGAUACAAUAAGGUUACUGUUAGCUAUUGCAGCAAAGAAGGGGUGGCCUAUAUUUCAGUUAGAUGUCAAGUCUGCAUUUCUGAAUGGAGAGCUUGAGGAGGAGAUUUUUGUUGAACAACCUGAAGGCUUCAGUAUCAAAGGGCAAGAAGAGAGUGUAUACAGGUUGAAGAAAGCUCUAUAUGGACUGAAGCAAGCUCCAAGAGCUUGGUAUGGGAAGAUAGAUCGAUAUUUGCAGGAUUUUGGUUUUGUGAAAAGCUUAAGUGAGUUCACUCUUUAUGUCAAGAAGGUGAAUCACAGUGUUGUAACUCUGUCACUUUAUGUAGAUGAUCUUUUAGUGACGGGGAAUGAUAUGGAAUUGAUAGAGAAGGUGAAGCAAGAUCUAUUUGCAGUUUUUGAGAUGUCAGACUUGGGAAAGAUGGCUUAUUUUUUGGGUUUGGAAGUCAAACAGGCUUCAUAUGAGAUCUUCAUCUGUCAGAAAAAAUACAUGAAAGAAAUUCUAAAGAAGUUUCAGAUGGAAGAUUGUUGAAGUGUAAGCACUCCUAUGGCUGCUAAAGAAAAGCUGCAGAAGAAUGAUGGAACAGAUGCAGUAGAUGCUUCUAUGUAUAGAAGUCUGAUUGGGUGUCUCAUGUAUCUUACAGCAACCAGACCAGAUAUUCUAUUUGUUGUGAGUGUUUUAUCCAGGUUUAUGAGUAGUCCUAGUCAAUUACAUUUGAUUGCAGCAAAAAGGGUCUUGAGGUAUCUCAAAGGAACAUUGUUCUUUGGUGUGAAGUUUAAAAAAGGUCAGAAGUUUAAUUUGCAAGGAUUUUCUGAUAGUGACUGGGCUGGUUCAGUAGAUGACAUGAAGAGUACGUCUGGAUAUUGUUUCAGUUUUGGUUCUGCUUGUUUCUCCUGGUGUUCUAAAAAGCAAGAGAUUGUAGCUCAGUCUACUGCAGAGGCUGAGUUUAUAGCAGAUAAUCAGGCCGCUUUAGCAAUAUCUCAUAAUCCAGUUUUCCAUGGCAAAACCAAGCAUUUCAAAGUCAAAUUUUUCUUUCUGCGUGAGGUGCAACAAAGUGGCGAAGUUAAGUUGGUCUAUUGCAGAUCUGAAGAUCAACUUGCAGACAUGUUCAUAAAACCACUUCAAGCUGGAAGAUUUGAAGUAUUAAGAAAGAAAAUUGGAGUAUGCAGCAGCAACUGAUCCAAGGAGGAGUUUGUUGGAUUAUAAUGUCUCAGUUGCUGUUUUCUGUUUGUUUUUUUACUCUGUUUUCUGCUGUUUUCUGUUCUGUUUUCUGCUCUGUUUUACUCUGUUUUUUUAUUAAAAAAACAGCCAAGUUCAAUUUAGUUAUUUAUUUAGUGUUUUUGUUAUUUUCUAGGAAGUUAAUAGCACGUUUGUGUGCAGUUAUGUGUUGCACGUACGUGAGCAGUUUUUGCUUUGUUUAAGUUGUCCUGUACUUGACAGUUUCCUUAAGAACAGACGUAUGCAAGUUUGUGUUCUGUUUCUCUACGCUUCUCUUCCUCAUCUGAAAAAUAUAGCUUCUGGUUUUCUAUUUUCUUGUUUACUGUUUUGAUCAGUAACAACAGAAACCAACACUCAUCUUACCUAGUUAGGUGGUUUGCUAUGUUGUUUCUCUGCCUUGUGGCGUUUUGCCUAGGCUUGUAUUGCUGUUUGUUCAGCUGUGUUUUUUGUUCAUGUGUUCUCUUUUUUUUUUGCUCCCUUCCACUUCUCCUGCAUGUUCGCAUUAUGAGUGAAAGUUCUUGGCGCCGAAUUCUAUGUAUUUUGGCUUUCCCUAUUUAUAUAAUUAUCUUUACCCAAAAAAAAAAAAGAUUUGCUAUCUUGAUUCAUUGGCGGAGGCUACACUUUGAUCGAGUAUCUUCCGGCUAUUAUGUUCGCACCCUAAUGGAGAGAAGAGAAUCCUAGAGGAGAUAGAGACUAUACGAGCUCAUCAUGGCGAAACCCUGGGGGAGACAGACAGCUUUGAGGAGCUAUGCAAAAUGGAUUACCGGCACGCUGUUGUCACAGAGACUAAGAUAUCCGUCAGUGCCACAUGAUAGGGAAGGAAGCCCUAAUGGAUAAUGUACUACCUGAUGGCACAACUGUGAGGAAGGGCUGGCGUGUCAUAUUCAGUUCUUUAUGCAUUGGGAAGGUGGAAAGCUUGUGGGGGAAGAACUGUCUCGAGUAUUUGCCCGAAAGGUGGCUCGACGAGAACGGAGCAUUCGAGCUAGAGAGCCCUUACUGGUUCCCGGUUUUUCACGCCGAGGAUGUGUCUUGGGAAAGAUCUGGCCUAUACUCAAAUGAAAUCAAUUGUAGCGUCUGUGGUUGAGAGGCUUGAGACACAAGUGCAGAACACGGGGAAGUGCCCUGGGAAAAUUGUGUCGGUGAGUGUUCUCAUGACAGGUGGAUUACUUGUCAAAGCGAAACAAAGAUGUCAGCAUUUGAAGCAGUAACUUCUCUGUACUAAGGAGAAACGAUGAAAGCACAAUGGACCUUGAAGGACCAAGGGGCUUGCAGCAUGAACCCGAUAAUGAACCUUGAAGAACAAAGGGGGGGAAUAACAUAAUGCCCGCUUGUCGAUAUGAACAAAAUAUGUACAGUGGAAGCUAUGUAGACUGCUGGGAGCAAGAAGCAGAAACCCGAUAUGUUCACUUGAGGAAAUAGUUAAGAGGGAGCUUAUGUCCAAAUUCGUUAAUGUAUCCAGUUGAAUCAACAUUCACCCAAAAACGAAAUCAAGCUAACUAGAAUAUAUUAACCGCUCUACGCUACAUCACUUAUCUAAUAUGGAAUUUUCUAACACAACUCACACAUAUAUAUUAAAAACAUGUGAGCUCACCGUUGGGUUUGCUCCCUCUUAAUUUAGGUGUCCUUCUGCAUCAACUUAUGUCGGGUAAAAUCUCCAUCAUCAACACCUAAGUUCAUUGCUAGUCUUUUUCUCCUUAUAAAACCAUGAAGUCUUCUAUCGAGCCCACAUUACUACGCUACAAACUCCACCCAUCCUAAAACAACAUUGAUCACCGGAUUCCUUUCUUGAAAUAUUUACCACCAUACAUGUUGGGGGAAGAAGUACAACCAAGUGUCAAAACUAGGCACGAAGAAACACUUAAAUGUCAAAAUUAUGAAAGUGACACUUAAAUGUCAAUUUUUUUUUUUUUUUUAUAAAUGAGACACUUAAGUGCCAUCUCCGACGAACUCAAUUGAUAAUCCUAUGUGGUAAUUUUUUAUUAUUUUUCUUGCCUACGUGGCUCGCCAGAAAGCCGACUCAACAAAAAAAACGCAAAAGUGACAUCAUUUUUGCUUGGAUUCAAAUUUUAAUAUAAAAAUUAAUUUUAAUUUUAAAUUAUAAAUAAAUAAAAAUAAAUAAGGGAGGACGAAGGCAGCUAAGGGCUGGUGAAGGUGGGGGGAGGGUCGGCUAAGGUCAUCGGGCACUCGCCAAGGGCCAGUGACCCCAGCCAAUGCUAGCCCUUCCUAGCAACGGCGGGGAGUCGGCGGCGGCAUUGAGGGCUCAGCCCUUAGCCACGUGCUUUCUCUCUCCCUUUUUUAAAAAUUUUUAAAAUUUUUUAAAUAAAUUUAGUUUUUAAUUUAAUUUAAUUUAAUUAAUUCUUAUAUUAAUUAUUUACCAUGUUAGAGACAAAAUGAGACAAAAUGACAUCGUUUUUGUAUUUGUCUAGCCACGUCAGCGUGCAAAACGACGUCGUUUUGUACUUAUCUCACUGGAAAAUUGUCACGUCAGCAUUUUGAUAGGAUUUCUCGCCAUUGGCACUUAAGUGAUUUAUUUUGCUUUGAUUUUGGUACUUAAAUGUCACUUUUUUAACUUUUGGCACUUGAGUAUCCUCCAAGUCAAGUUUUGGCGCUCCAGGUGUCCCGCACUCCAUGUUGGGAGUGGGCUACUAAUCGUCCAUUGGCUUUGAAACCCUAACAAAUUUUGUAAUUAAAUCAACACGAAAUCAUCUAAGAAAUAAAUGAUGAAUAGGCAGCAUUGAGGGCUCAACCCUUAGCCGUGUGCCUCCUCUCUCCCUUUUUUAAUUUUUUUUUAAAUGUUUUAAAUAAAUUUAGUUUUAAAUUUAAUUUAAUUAACUUUUAUAUUCAUUAUUUACCAUGUUAGAGACAAAACGACGUCGUUUUUGCAUUUGUCUAGCCACGUGCAAAACGACGUCAUUUUGUACUUAUCUCGCCGGAAAAUUGCCACGUCAGCAUUUUGAUCGGAUUUUCUCACUGUUGGCACUUAAGUGAUCUAUUUUGAUUUGAUUUUGGCACUUCAAUGUCACUUUUUUAACUUUUGGUACUUGAGUAUCCUUCGAAUCAAGUUUUAGCACUCUAGGUGUCCCGCACUCCAUGUUAGGAGUGGGCUACUAAUUGUCCAUUGGCUUUGAAACCCUAACAAAUUUUAUAAUUAAAUCAACACGAAAACAUCAAAGAAAUAAAUGAUGAAUAGGCAGCAUUGAGGGCUCAACCCUUAGCCGCAUGCCUCCUCUCUCCCUUUUUUAAAAAUUUUUUAAAAUGUUUUGAAUAAAUUUAUUUUUAAAUUUAAUUUAAUUAAUUUUUAUAUUAAUUAUUUACCAUGUUAGAGACAAAAAAAACGUCGUUUUUGCAUUUGUCUAGCCAUGUCAGCAUGCAAAACGACAUUGUUUUGUACUUAUCUCACCGGAAAAUUAUCAUGUCAGCAUUUUGAUCGGAUUUUCUAGCCGUUGGCACUUAAGUGAUCUACUUUACUUUGAUUUUGGCACUUAAAUGUCACUUUUUUAAACUUUUGGCAUUUGAGUAUCCUCCGAGUCAAGUUUUGGCGCUCCAAGUAUCCCGCACUCCAUGUUGGGAGUGGGCUACUAAUCGUCCAUUGGCUUUGAAACCCUAACAAUUUUUGUAAUUAAAUUAACACGAAAUCAUCAAAGAAAUAUAUGAUGAGUAAUAAAGACACUAGAGAUUUUGUAGUUCAGCUCGAAUAUUGACACGUACAUCUAUGAGGAGAGCCAAUAGCCAAUAAUCCAUAAUCACAUCAGAGAAUUACAGAGUUAUAAUCGCUCACAUGCUUGAGUAUUUCCAAAACCUCAUAUUGUUUUAUAAAAAAUAAAAAAAAAAAAUCACCACAUGUUGUCAAUACCUAAAUUUUGACUAAUCAUUUAGUAGUUAAUUUCAUAAAAAAAAUUAGGAAUUAAUCUUUAACCACUAAAUAAAAAUAUUUAAAUUAGAUUGCAAAUAGUUUUAGGAGCAUUUUUUUUUUGGUCGGUUUUAGGAGCAUUUAUCAUAUAGUUUAUUUCAUUGCAACAUUGGACUGGCGGCAGAUGGACUAAGAGCAAGGGAAAAUUUGAACUUAAUUUAAUCUCUUGGACUGAGCCCAUAACUGCACAAAAAUUAGGCCGAGUCCAUUGAAGAUUAUAUAGCGGAAAUUUUUACAGUUACAUGUGUCAGGUCGAAAAAUUGGUACUUAAAUCAUUAUCGAGAUCUAGUCACAUAAUGAAUGAUUGGAAAUAAUCUUCGGGGAAUUUGUACGUGCAUAUUUUAGGAAGUGAACAAGAAAAAAGUGGGCAAAAAUGUAUUCUGCGGAUUGCGUACAAAAGAAAACGGGAAAAUUUCAAAUAAGGACUCAAAGUGCCAUCAUUUUCUCAAAAGAUGACCUAUAGUGAAAUUUGUCUCAAAUAAGGACCAAAAGUGCCAUCAUUUUUCUCAAAAUAGGACGUGAAGUGAAGUUUGUCUCAAAGAAGGACCCAAAGUAGUCAUUUAAUCUCAAAGAAGGACCUCACUUGCCGGCCGGUGAAUAAAUGCAUCUUCAAUGUAUAUUCCAGUGGCUUGAUUACAGUAUUUUCAUCCUCUUUUUUUUUCAAUUUUGCUUGCCUAGUUCAUUGUCUUCUUCGUCCCUUGUUCACUUCUUCUUGCCCAGAUCAAGAAUAUCGAACUUGGUGGAGCAAUAGGCGGAGGUGGGGGAGGUCGCCCCUCGCGACCAUCAGCGAGGUCACCCCUCGCCGGCCCUGGGUGAGGGCUCACCCACCUCACCAGCCACUAAUAAGGGCUAACAAGGGCUUGCAAGCCCUCACCUAUUGCUAGCGAGGGCUCGACCACCCUCGCCAGUCGCAACCGAGGCCACCAUCGCCAGAUCUAGCAAGGGUCGGCCUACAAGCCCUCGCCCACGGCCGACAAGGGCUUGGUGGCCCUCGCCUACUGCCGACGAUGGGCGUCCAACCCUCGCUGAUCCUCACCAAUGGCCAGUGCUCACUGGCCCUUCCCAAGUCCAAUGUUCUUGAGAAGAAGAUGAAUAUGGGACGAAAAAGAUGAUGAAUAGUGCCACCAUUGACCCAAAAAAAAUAAUAAUAAUAAAGAACAGGACAACUGAUUUUUUUUUAAAAAGGACAAAAAUAUCCCUAAUCAAGCUAUCGGAAUAUGCAUCGGAGAUGCAUUUAUUCACCGGCCGGCAAAUGAGGUCCUUCUUUGAGACCAAAUGAUUAUUUUGGGUCCUUAUUUGAUACAAACUCCACUCUAGGUCAUCUUUUGAGAAAAUGAAGGCAUUUUGAGUCCUUAUUUGAGACAAACUUCACCUCAUGUCCUCUUUUGAGAAAAUGAUGGCAUUAUAGGUUCUUAUUUGAAAUUUUCCCAAAGAAAACUUGGGCUAAUAAAAGAAGAUGACUUGCUUGAAGAAAAGGAAACUCCAUAUCACUGAAUGGACUAUCCAUGAGCAGCUCGUCCCUGCCCUUUUACCGUGUCGUUGUCCCGGCGAGCUUGCCAGCUCAGUCCCCGAAGGUUGCUGAUUUCCCACUGACUUUGCCGCCGCUUCGCGGCAUGCUGUCCAGUCCAUCUCCAUUGACGCCGAUCCUUGCCUGUCGCUGCCGCCACGGGUCGACAACGCAGCUGCUGCCCUUUCUCUCGACCGAGUCGUGAAGUAGCCUUUGCUGUGGUUCCCAGACAACAGAGCUACGGGCCACGCUUGUAGCCGGAUUCGCCAGUUCAAUCAUCACGGAGCAGUCCUUCUGGCGACGAUCACCCGCCAAGGACCUUCUUGCGCCCCAACGGCAUCGGUGUUUUUCUUGCAACCCCGGUGACGUUGGUGGUCGGGUGAGCCACCGUAUGCACUCAGUCGCAUCUUGCCACCGCUCCUUGCCGUCUCGAUGGUGCCAAUGUUUUCAGCCUCGGUCCAAUCCGAUCCCCAGCGACCAGCCUGGUCCAGCAGCGUCCAGCAAUCAGCCCGCGACGUUCCUGUCCGACCAGACCAGUUUGCCAUCGAGCUAUCUCCCUCGAUGUAGGCUCCAGUAACACCAGAUUUUCUUUAGGCCAUUCACUAAAAUUUUGUUGCAGGUUUUCUCCUCGAUACACACGGAAGCAUCAUCAGGAUAGACAAGUGGAGAGUCCGGCUGUGGGGCUUGAAAAGUCAAAGUUCGGUGGAUGCUCCCUUGAAUACGUUGCACUUGCAGCAGCUCCUUUUGCAACCCCACCUCAUCAUCGACCAGCAAGCUUUGCUCUUCUGAGGGGUGUAACUGAUACGGUUCGGUUCGAUUUUCUUAAAAAAUGGAACCUAGAUGAGGAAAUUUAUUAAACCAAACCGAAAUUCGAUCCAAAGCGAAACCAAACCGAACUGAAAUCCAUUCGGUUGUUCGAUUUUUCGAUUUUUUUUUUUUUCCCUACAUGCAUCCCUUUCAAUAAUUUUUGUACUUUUUAAAAAAUCAAUUUUUUUAUUCUUUUUCUUUUUUCUUUCUUUUUCUUCUUCUUCUUCUUCAUCGGUUGGUCGCCAUCCACGGUGGCCAGCUCGCCCUUGAACCCACCAAAUCCGUUGAGCCUCGCCGACAUCUAGCGACCUUCGGCAAGGCUCAAGCCCUACCCAAGUGGCCGAAUCUAGUAGGGCUCAAGCUCGCCGACAUCGAGCGAGAAGAAAAAGAAAAAGAAAAUCACAAAAAGGCUUUUUAAAAAAAUAAAAUAAAAAAUUAUAUGAAAUUUUUUAAAAUUUUAUCAGUUUGGUUAGGUUAACCAAACCAUUAAAAAUCGAACUUGUUAAAAAAAUUUCGAUUUUUAAUGAAAAACGAACCGAAAAAAAAAGUCCGACUUUUCGAUUUGGUUCAGUUCGAUUUUUUGCACCCUUAGCAGCAAUGGCUAUCAUUUCAACUAAGGGGGGAUGUGCAGAGAAAGAGUGCUUGAUCACGACACGAGAUGGUACUUGGCCAAGGAACAUGCAAUGGAAUGAUUAGUUCACAGCUAUAGGAGUGUCAAAAACCGAACCGAACUCAAAAAUUUUUUAACCGAUUUGUUUUUUAUUGGCUCAGUUAACCUAACCAAACUGAUAAAAUCUAGAAAAUUUUCUUUUUUUUUAUUUUUUUUUUAAAAAAUCUUUUUUGUUAUUUUUUUCUUUUUCUUUCUUUUUCUUCUUCUUCUUUAUUGGUUGGUUGCCGCCGGCAACUGGCGACUAGCCAAAGGCGAGCAAGAGCCUCGCCGACCCACAGGUCAGCGAGGCUUGAGCUCGUCCAAUUUCGGCAAAGUCGAGCCUCGCCGGCCUAUAGCAAGGCUCCACCUCGCCCGACACCAGUGAGCUUGAACCCCGCCAAAUUCGGCCCCCUAGGUGUUGUUAAAGAAGCUGACUUGAAGACUGCAUCUGUGGCAAUGCAUAAGAAACGAAGAAACAUUUGAAGAUAAUUCAAGACUGACUUGAAGAGAGAGUUUGCUCAUCACACGUGUUUGCAGAGCUGGAAGACUUAAAAGAAAAGUAAAUACACGUGUCAUAAUUCAUUAGAGCGGUUAGUCUGUUAUUUGUAGAACCGAAGUUGUUAAACCGGUGUUGAGUCGGUUGAUUCGUUUUUCAUCAUCUUCCUUGAGUAUAAAACUACAGAGGAAAGUAUAGAGAGAGUGUGGGGAGAAAAGCAAGAAGUGAAAUUGUAGAACAGAUAGAGAAAGCUCUCAGUUGAAUAAAUGCUUUUGCUCCUUUUGAUUCGAGAAGAAAAGAAAUUCUUCCUCUUCAUCUUGUGUCUCUGUUCUUCAUUCUCUGUUCUCUAUUCUUUGUUCUCUCUGUUCUUCGUUUCUUCACAGGUGUGGCUCAAGCCUCGUAGGAGGUUGCUAGAUGUCGACAAGGCUCUAGUGACCUCCAGCGAUGCUUGAGCCUUGCUUAGCUCGUCGAAUUUGGCAGGUUCAACCUCAGUGGCAUCAAGUGAGCUUGGCCUCGCCUGACCGGGUGAGCUCCAACUCGCCUCUGGCCGGUCACCAACCGCCACCGUGGCCGGCAACUAGCCAAUGAAAAAGUAAAAAUAUAACUAAAAAGAAAGAAAAAGAAUAAAAAAAUAACUAAAAAAUUGAUUUUUUAAAAUAUAAAACAAAAGUAAAAACCAAACCAAACUAGGAUUUUGAUUCAGUUUCGAUUUGAAUUAUAUUUCAGUUCGAUUUAAUAAAUUUCCUUAUCGGUUCGGUUUUCUAAAAAUAUCAAAUUGAAUCGAACCAUUUACAUCCCUAGUCGCCGCAAGACGUGAUCCAGUCCAAUUUUGAUCCGGAUUACACAUAUUCAAAUUAGGUAAUGAUCUCUAUCCAAUUUAAUUUGAAUAUUUCAUUCCAUAAUUUGGAUGGAUUGUUAUCUAAUAUGUGAUAUUUGAGAUCUUAAGCCUAUCUAAUUAAGGCUUAUUGAUAAACUUAAUUUGAUCCGGAUACCGUAAGGAUAUCUGAUCAUUUUUUAAUAUUAUUUCAGUUUUUUAUUGGAUAGCUACAGUGUCUAAUUGCGAUAAUCUUUAGUUUAAGUCGUGAGACAAUAGGUCAUUUCUUAGUUUAUCAUAAUUUAAUUGUGUAUUGAGUUGCGGAUUAGGCGACACAUGUUCAAGCCCGUCCCGUGCGUUCUUUUUCAUUCCCUUCCUGCGGCUGCGGCUGCGGCUGCGGCUUCGGUUUCUUCCAUGUGCGGCCUGGUAGGUUUCAAGCAAAAACAAAGCCCAAGCCUUUUGUUGUGUGUUCGUGCCUGCAGCACAUUAGAGUCCAACUCUUGGUCUUGCUCAAACUCGUUCUAAUCGGGUUGGGUCUCAUAUACAGCCUGAACUCGAGAUAGUAAUUCAACACUCUUAUCUUCACUAUUGUCACCUUACUGCUGUCUAAAUAGCACCAGCAUCAACACAAGACACAAUACACCGACACAUCGUUUCUAAAAAAAUAGAUAAUUUUGACUUGUUUGAGAGACGUAAUAAAUUAAAUAUAUAUUUUUAUAUAUACAUAAUAUAUUAUCUUUUUUAUAAUUGUUUUAAUUAAAUUAAUUUGAUUCAAAUUUAUAAAUAAAUAAAUAAAUAAUAAAAAAGACUCAAAUGAAUUUAAACUAAAAACAUUAUUUCAAUUUGACAAAUUCAACUAUAUUCCAAAAAAUUAAUCAAUUCACCUUUUAGACUUACAUGUCAGAAGAAAAGAAAAAAAUAAAAUUGGGGGGUGAAUUGUGUGUCACAAGAAGUAAGAGUUAGAAGAGAAGACAAUACUAGAUUUUUUUCCCCAUUUUUUAUUUUUUUAUUUUUCACAUAUUUACAUUUUGACAAUUCAUUUAUUGAAAAUUUUCAAAAUUGAUCUUGUGUGUGUCGGAAUCACAAGUCGAAAUUCCAAACUCACAUGUUGAAGAGUGUUGGAUUUUCUAACUGUUGAUCGAGUGUCGGAGAGUAUUGAACACGUAUCGAAAUAUUUGCGUAUCCAACAUAACACGAAAACUCUCGAAGACUAAGAGUGUCGAUACUUACUAUUACUACAGCUCAAGAAAAUACAUUAGCAAUUGGAGGUCUCAUGAAUUACCCUCCGAUAGGGUGCCCGCCGGGGGCCAUCAAGAGCAAAUAUCGCGUCCUUGAGCGGAUGUCACCGAUUUUCCCCCUCAGUGGAGGCCCGCCCCCCCGAGACUUCCCCGGUGUUGGUGGCAGAUCUGAAUGGGGCUGAAUUGGGGUGGAAACAAGUUAAGGGAAAGAAGAAGAAAUAUCCCCCUCCUAAGGAGACGUGCUUGGACCAUUCGGUCAUCUCCAGAGACGAGGAACCAUCCCUCAAGCAGACAGCAGUAGCUCUUAAGAGCUUGCCAUCAACCUCUACCCGGAGGGCUCAGAGUGGGCUUCGAGCCCUAAUCAAGGUGGAUGCUCCCACCUCGACAAUGAAGGAAGACCCCAUUAGCCAUCCGGAUGCAGACCUGGGGAGUGGAGCGGAGUUGAAUGGGUCUGUCAACCACCUUGAUAGCUCAGAUGAUGAUCUUCUCUCGCCUUGUCUAUCGCCGAAGGCUCCUCCAACUAGAAGCAGCGAGGAGACUACCCAAGACAAGCCCCUGGCGCUCUCCCCAGACCCACCUCCUCCAUCGGCUCGAGCGGCUCCCCCUCCGAGCCGUCGCAAGCCACCGAAAAGGAGGUAACCCUUACUCUUUUCCUCUUUUGUACAUAUGUAUAUAGGAUGCUGGAAUAUUAGAGGCAUGGUUGACCCGACUAGGCAAGCGGAGAUUCGUAAUUUUAUUAUUUCAAACCACUUGUGCUGUAUUGGUUUGGUGGAAACUAAGGUGCCACAUGAUCGCUUCAACUCCAUAACCGAAGGUCUAUUGAGGGAUUGGUGUUGGAUUGCAAACUAUGACUUCUCCCCCAGGGGUAGAAUUUGGGUCGGUUGGGACCCCGUGAGAGUUAAGUUUGAAGCCUUCUCACUUACCAAGCAGGCAGUUCAUGGGAACUUUGAGAGCCUGGUCUUUGGGGUGGCUUGCUGUGUUUCUUUUAUUUAUGGAGAACACUCUUUUUCGCUGAGGAGACCGUUGUGGGAGGAUAUCAUUCUGAAAAGCACCCAUCUCUGGGACACUCCUUGGCUUGUCUUGGGGGAUUUCAACGCUAUUAAGGAUCCAUCGGACUGUGUCAGUGGCUCUAAAGAUUGGCUCCCUUGUUUUGAUGAGUUUGGACAGUGCUUGGAGCAAGCCGAGCUGGAAGACUUGAGGUUCGUUGGUUUUAGAUACACUUGGACUACGUCUUCAGGGCCUUCUAGGAAAGUAAGAAAGAUUGAUAGGGUUCUAGUGAACGCCAAGUGGAGCUUUGAUCUCUCUUACUUGGAAGCCUCCUUCCUAGCUCCGGGAAUCUCGGAUCACUCGCCUAUGGUGGUGAAGAUGCUUAAUCCGACUCAUCGGAGGAAGCCCUUCAAGUUCUUCGAUUUCUGGAUGAAGCACUCGGAGUUCAAUGAGAUUGUCUCGCAAGUGUGGGAUGCGCCGGGGGGUGGUGUUCCUAUGUAUAGGCUUGUGUCUAAGCUCAAGGCUCUUAAAUGUCGGCUCAAGUAGCUCAAUAGAGAUUCCUUCUCUAAUAACUCUGCCAGAACUCUUGAUGCGCGGAAGAUGUUGGAGGCCACUCAAGCAAAAUUACAACUAAAUCCCUUUUUUGCUGACCUUGCUGAGGUGGAAAAGAACCAAAGGCGUAUCUUUGCAGAGUUGCGCUCCUCGGAGGAGUCAUUCUUCAGGCAGAAGUCCAAGGUCAGAUGGCUCAGGGAGGGAGACCGUAAUACCAAUUUCUUCUACCAAUAUGUCAACAAAAGACAUUUGAGGAACAGAGUCCUUUCCGUCCUCGACUCUUCGGGGAACCUGGUGACGAAGCCACGGCUGGUGCAACGGCGAUUUGUAGAGUUCUUUGAGGACCUCUUGGCGCCGCAAGGGGAGCUCGUUAGACCUUCGUUAGAGGACUUGAGGGAGGUUAUCCACCAUCCACUCUUGGUUGAUCAGGCUGCGCUUCUUGCUCGGCCGGUUACAUAGUUGGAGAUCCGGGACACUAUCUUCUCCUUGCCUAGGGGAAAGGCUCCUGGGCCAGAUGGUUUCACAGCGGAGUUCUUCAAAGAAAACUGGGACACGGUUGGUCCUUUAGUAACGACUGCAGUGAUGGAUUUUUUCACCUCCGGAAAACUCUUGAGGGAGAUUAAUAAUACCAUCUUGGUGAUGGUUCCUAAAGUGCUCAACGCCACUUCUGUGGAGGAUUAUAGGCCUAUCGCCUGCUGCAACACUAUCUACAAGUGUAUUACAAAGGUGCUAGCUAAUCGGGUGGCCCUAGCUUUGAAGAGCACGAUAGGCCCCUUUCAGACUGCUUUUGUAAAAGGUAGGCGGAUCAGGGCCAUCAAGAGCAAACAGCGGCGCUCUCUGCUCUCUGGGGUCAUCAAUGAAUUGCUUUUGUACGCAUUCAAUUCCCUUACAUUGGGAUGUUUCUCGGAUAUUUGCCAGGAAGCUAUGACAGUUAAAAUGACAAGAGAGUCUAUUGUAUAACACCUUUGCAAGAGUAGUCUUACCGAUGCCGCCCAUUCCAUAAAUUCCAAUAAUCUUUGUACCAUUGAAUUCAGCAUCUAUGUUGCUCAUAAUCUGUUGCACAUGAUCCUCGAUUCCCACUAACUGUUCCGGAACAUUUAGCUGAAAAAGUCUUUUUAACUCGCCCAUAACUUUUUUCACAAUAAUUUUAACCAAUGUUCCUUCAUGCCUGUCAAAUAACAAUGAAUAUCAAUAUAGGAUAUCAAUGUCUAUUUUUUUUUUCAAGAAAGAUCUAUUUAUGAAAAAUCAAACAAUGUUUUGUCCGAGAAUUAGGUACCCGUUAUCAAUUUUCUCCGAUUCCCAUCCUUUCAAGGAGCUGACUUCUUUGAGUGCUUCUUCCCAUUCCUUCACAACCAUUUCCUCCAUAUUCUUUUUAUGUGCAUCAAUAGCUUCUCUCAAUCUCCCCAUAGGAUGUCGUACUUGUGAGGGUUCCAUUUUGUAAAAUAUGGGCAACACUAUUUGCCCUUUACUCCUCUUGCACUUUAACAUCUGAACCAGCUCACAAAGGCACCAUUUGCUGGAAACGUAGUUCUCGGAAAUAAUUGGGAUAGAGAUCGUGGACUGCGUAAUGCUGCAGAGAAGCUCCAGACCAAUCUCCUCACCAACACGGAGCUCAUUGUCGUCUCUGAACACGUGAAUUCCUGCAUCGAUAAGACUAGUAUAGAGAUAAUCGGUGAAAUUUUUGCGUGUGUCUAUCCCUCUAAAGCUCAAGAACACUUCGUAGGCAUUCCCUUUCGGUCGUUUGUCUCCCCCUUCAUGAUCUCCUCCAUGCGGAGCAUUCGAUGAGGAAGACGCCCUGGAAUUCGGAUCUUCUGAGUGAGUGGGUUCUUCUCUUUUACAAUUCAAUUGGCAAUUUAAGUUGAGAGGGAAAUGACGUGAAAAGAAACGAAAGGAAUUGGAGAGAAAGGAAGAGAACGGAAAGACCAUUUACCUUUUUCUUGAUUGGAUGGACAUCAUGGAGUGAUUGGCCAACGAGAUUCUUAUUCUGUUAUAAAAUGAGAGAUUGAUCAAGCAGAGCCUUGAAAGAAAGCCAGCCUUCACGGUCCAGAUCUGCGAAUCGCACAAAUGUCUUUCAUGACUCAGUUAAUUCAAACGAAAAUAAAAGAACUCUCAUACCUCUUGCUUACUCAGAAGAAAAUGGAGCAAUCAAAGUAGGAAACAGAAAAGGGCAAGGAGUCGGUUGACUGCCUGAGGAGUGCUCAAACAACACAACCCUGGCAUCUCCACCGAUUUUCAGCAAAUAUCGUUCGGUGGUCUGCCAACGACCGAAGUCCUGACGGCUCACUUCGAUCGCCAUCCAAAAGGCAAGUGGUUCACAUCUCUCCUCCACCGAUGUGUUCAGAGAUGGUCUUCACUGCGGACGGGGGGCCAGCUGCAGAGGAAAAUGGUGAGUUACGAGUUCAACGCCAACUGAAAUGUCUCGAGCACGGGCCAAGUAUUGAGACAUGCAAUUCGACGACAUUUGCGAGAUGGCAUUCCAUGUAGGCUCCGGUUUGCUACACGGCGAGGGAGUUACGACUGCACACUUUACAAGCGCAUUCGAUAAGGUAGCUUCCUUGAGCUCGAGCAGGCUCCGUCGCCUAACAUUCAUGUGGAAGGUCACACAGAGAUCCUCAGCGUGGGAAUGGAGCGAGAGCUCAAGAACUGUGUCUCCAAUGUCCCUGAAUACAUGGAAAACAUCAUCCGGUCGAGAUUGGCAGAGGAAAGAGGGACAAACAAAGAUAUGCUAUCUCGAUUAAUUGGACCAAGGCAACACUCGUCUCCUUCAGCACCGAACUCGCGGGAAAGGAGACAACUUCUACUGUGCUCACUUGGUUCUCCUGGCUACUAUCGUCGCACCCCAAUGUAGAGAAGAGAAUCCUAGAAGAGAUAGAGACGAUACGAGCCCGUCGCAACAAAAACUUGGGGUACACUAUGUGGUUCUUAUGCAAUGGGAAGGAUGGAAAGCUUGUGGAAACCCAAAUUUUAAUUUUGAAUGUUUAACAGAGUUGAGUAAAAUAUAGAUUAAGCAAUGCUUAAUUGAGAAUUACGUACGGUCAUCGACCCAUUAGAAUCAUUUCUAAGAGAUUUAAGUAAUCAAGAAGAAAAAUGACUUGAUUCCAAUGUCUUGAAAGACCAAAUUCAGCCUCUUCUAAAACCAAUUCUUCCGAUCGAUUCAAAUUCAGAACCAGGUUCGAUUUCUCUUUCAUCCUCCUCAUCAUUUUCAAUCAUUGCUAUUGAAUCAUUUCCUAUUGUACUAGUCACUUCUUUAAUAUUCAUAGCUGAUCCUCCAUAUUAGGAAAUGAAUUUAAAUCCUUAUAAACUAGAGGUCAUCUAACCAAAUAAUCCAUCCCAGAAUCUAAAUUCCCCUCUAAACAGUUUUUUACCAUUGAUGACAUUCAUUAUUCCAAAUAGCUAGAAAGAUUUGAAGAAUUUCAUACUAGGCUAAACAUCUAAGCUCUCACAAAUCACGACAAGUAUGAUGUCCUUUUUGGAUUUGUUACGAGAUUCACAGGUAGCCUCAAACAUCGAUGGCAAUCGGUUACAAAACAAGAUCAAGUGCAAUUUCUGCUCUUAGCAGACUUCGGCUAAGCUAUUGCUCUCCUAUACCUUUUUUUCAUUGGCAAACCUGCUGACUUUCAUGAGCUUAAAAGAAGAGAGUUUUUUAAAAGAAAAUUUUGCUCUCUCCAAAAAAGACAUCUUGACAAGCAUUAUUGAAAAACGAUCAAACUCUUCAAUGACCUUGGAGCUGAUGCGAACGUGAAAUAGGUUUUUCGAGCGUCUAUUUCUAGAGAGCUAUCUCAACAAGUCGAGAGAUCAUUUCUCAACAAGGAAAUGAAAAUUGUGUAUAUUCCUUUGGGAGAAAUAAAAGAAAAAAUCUAUUUGUCUUGAUGAUUUGUAUCUAAGGCGCCAAAUGAUGAAAUCCUACCUUAAAGACAAUCAAGAACUUGACGGAGCUUGUUCGCAUCAGAAUUUGAUGAUUAAGUUUUCCAAAAAAAAAAAAAUUGUGAUGGCUCUUGUGGAAAAUUUUCCGGAAAGAAAAGGCAUUUCAAAAAGUAUUAGGUAUAAAGGUCCAAGUAUAGAUUUAAACAUUUCCGGAAAAAAGAAAAAAUGUCAAUUCCUACAAAGAAUGAAAGAUCACUCAAACUAGAAAAAAUCAGCUCCAUGCUUCAUCUGCAACAAAAUGGGUCAUUUCGCCAAAGAUUGCCUCUAGGCGAAAAAUGGUUAGAACCACUUAAUACACCACAUUGAAAGUGAAAUUGUUGUUUCACUUGAAAAUGAUGAUGUUGACUCAUUAUUUUCUAUUGAUGAAGACUCAUUUAAGCAAACUCUUUGUAUCAUUCAUUGUUAUUAGACCUCUAAUGAAACUGAUUCUGAUUCAUAUUUUGAAGAUCUUUUCCAUACAUCACGCAUCUCUUCAAAAUAAGACCCUAGUAUAUAUUCUAGUUAAGUCCAUUGUCCUCAUUUUCCUGUAAAAAUCCUUACCUCAAAAUUUGUUAAAACAUCAUAGUAAUUGCUCUUAUAAAUAUUAGUGCAGGUUUUUCAAUUCUAAACAUAAAGAUUCUUCUUGAAGAAUACUGGACUUCCUACGUUUGGCAUUUCAAUUCUUCUUCGGGAGAUACUUCUUCUACAAAUGUAUGAACUACACCGAAAACUAUUCAGUUUUUCCCUUAGCGUUCUAUAACCACUAAAAUUUUUAGAUCUAAUCUUUCCAACAAAGAUUUGAUUAUUGGUUAGGAUGUUAUGACUCAAAUACCUCUACUCUGAAUCAUUCCUGAAAAAAGACCUUAAGUAUAGAGAUUAGUUCUCUGAAUUUGUUAAUAUCCAAUUACUCUUCUCUAUAUAAAUGAGUUUGCUAGAUUCGAUCAUGUAAAAGUUAUCAGAAUCCCAUUUUGAAUUCUCUUGGAAAUAUCCUCAUCCUUUAUGGAAAAAUGCAGAAUUUUUUGUUCGCUUUCCUUUCAAAAAAAAUGAAUACAUAAAUCUCAUUAAGAUGAGUCACAUGAGAAUGAAUCCAAAACAUUUUGUUGCUACUCAAGAUGAGUGCUCAGAGUUACUACAGUAAGGCCGUAUUUAAAUUUCAGAUUCCUAAUGGACUUGCGAAAUUUUUAUGUUAACAAACAAAUUAAGCAGAAUCGAGAAAAGAUGCGAUUGGCAAUCAAUUACCGACCCUUCGACAUUUUCCUCCAAUAUGAUAAAUUCUCAUUGCCCUUUCGAAAUUCUCUUUUUAUUGGAUUAUCCAAAACUUACAUAUAUUCAAAAUUCGGUCUCAAAACUAGAUUUUGGCAACUAAGCAUUCAUCCUAAAAAUAGGCCCAAAAUAGGUUUCUAUAUUCCAAACCAGUAUUUUCAAUAGAAAGUUCUCCAUUUUGGCCUCAAAGUAACCCCAUCCUUAUUCCAAAAGGCAAUGUGCCAAAUUUUUCAAUCAAUUUUGUCAAGUGCAACAGUCUACAUUGAUGAUAUCUUACUCUACAGCCUUGAUAAAGAAUCCCACUGCCGACUCAUGGAUCAAUUUGUAAACAUCGUGAAAAAAAAUAUGGAAUCAUGAUUUCUCAUAGAAAGAUGAACAUUGCUUAGACAUAAAUUGAAUUUCUAUUAUUCACUUCAAUAAAAAUACAUACUAUCCAGGGCUGCAUAUUACUUAGGAAUUAUUAAAAUUUCCAAAAGAAAAUUUCACGAUAAAAUAAGUUCAGUAAUUUCUUGGGAUAAUUAAUUAUCCGAGAUUUUGUUCCCAACAUUGCAAAAUUGCUACUUCCAUUACAAUUGAUACUAAAGAAAAAUCCCCUUAGCAAAGCUCAAACCAAAGCAGUUACAGAAUUAAAAGAAGUGAUACGGAAUCUUCCUCCAUUGAAAAUGCCAUCCACCAAGAAGAAAAUCCCCUAGACCGAUGCUAUUGACAAAUAUUGGGUAGCCAUACUAUUUGAAGAACUUGAAGGUAAGCGAAACCUUUGCGCUUAUAAAAGUAGAAAAUUUUCUCAGGCUGAAAUGGAUUAUGAUUCUACUUUCAAGAAAAUAUUUGUAGUAAAAAAUGGAAUAAAAAAAUUUGAAUUCCAUCUUAUUGGCCAUCAUUUUCUAGUAGAAUUAGAUAUAACAUCUUCUACCAAAAUAACCAAAUUCAAAUAGAAGCAGAUUCCCCACUCUCAGCUACUUUGAUGGGCUGAAUGAUUUUUGAAACUCUUUUAAAACAACCACAUUGUAGGAAAGAAAAAUGUUCUUACUAAUUUUCUUUCUAGACAAAAAGUACCAACAUAAAUUAACAUGUACAUUUUCAGGCAUGCUUAUCCUCAAUAGGUUUGAGUACAAGAUUGAAAGAAUGCGAGAUUGGCUAAAUUUAGAAUAUCCUCAGGAAAUCAUUGAACAAAUCUAAAGUGAUAGCCUCACUAAAAAUUUUGAUAACUUCAUAUGGUAAUACCAUACAAAUCUAUUCAGAUUCCAUGGAAGCUCAAUUAUUUAUCCUUUUGGAUUAAACUCUAAGUAUCUAUUUAUUUAAUCCAUUAAUCUAAAAAGAAGAUGAUUUCCAUGAUUAGCUUCAAUGGCCGUUUUGGUACUUAACCAAAAAGUACUUAAUAGUUAUUGAGUUCUCUAUCAGAGAAUUCAUUGUCAAGUUAAUCAAAUUGAUCAUGCUUCGACAUAAUGAAGGGAGUGAAGGUGACAGAAACCUCUUGAUUGUACUUUAUUGGUUCUAUCUUCCUACUUACUGAAAACACCUCUUUGCACAAGAACUAGGAAAUGCCCCUCAAGCGGAACCAGAGCUACACAUAGUAGUUUUUUUAGGAGACCAUGGACUUUUGUGCAACAUAAUGGCACCCUCAUUAGUGCACCAGAAGGAAUAAGAACCAUAACAUAUAAGCCUCAAUCACAUCUCCAAGAAGCCCAUAUUUACAGGAUAUUUCCAAACUGCAUUGGAUCCGUUAAAUACAACUACAGAGAACUUCAGAGGGUCCUAUGCCAAGAAAACCGGACCAUUCUUGAAGAAGUAUGGGACUACCCAACACCUGUCCCAUGGGACCACUAUGGUCUUGCACCUGAAGCUAGACAAGCACUUGAAGAAUUCAAGCAAGCAUAGAAUCAAUCAAGGAUACCUUUAUUGCAAGAGCAGUAAAUGACAAACACAGACGAUCAUGCACAAUUCUCUCAAAAAUCCUAUGCUUUUAGGCAUCUUACGCUCAAUGGGGGGUCCUCUCUUAAGAUUUAUAUGAUCAAGGACCUUUGUCCUUAUCUCACGGAAUGGACCCCAACAUAGUCUUCCAUUAUACCCAAAUAGCAAAUUGGCCCAAGUUAGUCAUGCUUGGUGACACUCCAAAACCCUCUAGGAUUCAUAAAGAACCUGCCUCAAGCAAUCAAAGUAUGUGAGAUACCUUGAUCUCACAAAGGGGAUCCUCUCACAAUACCAAUAGUCCUCCUGAUGAUGUUGGAAUGGAAACACUACAAAGAAGAAUGGCUGGCAAGACAUAGUUCUGAUGAUUCAAACUAUGAUAACAACUCUCGAGAUAGUAGAUAGAUCUAUAACAAAAGUUACUAUAGCAUUGGGUCACUAUAGCAAAGUAUUGUAGCAAUAGAUUAGAGAAAUCACUGUUUGCAGUCACUAUUCACAUUAUUUAGAAUAAUUCCCAAUCAGGAAUGUUGGAGCCUUUGUGUUUUAAAACCUAUGAGCUUGGUCUUUAUUUUGUGUGACCUCUUAAUGCCUAUAAAAGGCAAAGAUGAUGUAAUGUUUCGAGUAGAGUCCCUUAAAGUAAAAUGUGUGUUUAUGCAAAUUCUCUCAAUGUCUCUCUAAACACUUUUUAUUCUCUAACUCGAUAGGAUCAUCUGAGAAAUGUAGCUCUACUAAGUUAGAGAUGUUACUAUCCCGGUAUCUUUAAGCGUUUCUAUACUCUAAUCCAAAUUUUCAGAUAGUUUACAACUAAAAAACAGUCCUUUGAAAGUUUGAACAGAGAGGUUUGCCUACGGUAUAGCAUACUCGCUCUGAUUAACUUGGUCUGAGGUUCCAAAGGAAAAAAAAAUCAAAAAAAUAAAAUAUUAUUAAAAAAUUGUCAAUGUAAGUGCCGACCGAUCAAAAUUGACCAGAUAGACUAAAUUAACAUAUAUAUAAAAGGUUUAGGACUGAAUUGAUAAAAAAAAAAAAUUGUUUUAGAAUCAAAUUGGCACUAUUUUAGUAAUUUUUACUCUUUCUAGCAAUAGUGAACAACCAAAUCCUUAUAUUUCCCUUUUGCUUAUCAUUAAAAAAAAAAUUUAACAAAUACCAUCUUUAGAUUUACUCUUCAUGUCAAAUACUCUACUUUGAAAUCCGAUUGAUUAAGCUUUUUCCGAUCUAAGGCCAAUGACGAUGGUGGUGCCGGCUCAAGCCUCGAUUGUUCUUAUGUCAUACUACUGAGAAGUGUGUAUGAGGGGAAACCAGCACCAACUCAAGGUUCGAGCAUUCUUGUGUCAUGCUGCUCAGACAUGCGUAUAAGGAGAAACUAGCCUUUUUUUUUCUUUUUUUCUUUUUUAAAAAGUAGAGAAGAAACUAGCCUUUUUAGUAAGUUGGAGUGGGCUUUGAAAUGUGAUGACCCAUUUGAUACAGUAAAGCAAAGAUUGUCACACCCCGAACCUCGAGCGCGCCAACAUCCCACCAUGGUCAUGCAAAUGCGACAUUCCCAAGUAGUGUCGCCGACCCCAUUCAUUUAUUAUUGCGCAAGCAGAACGUAUUAUAAAACCCCUGACAAUGAAAUACGGGAUAGAAAAGCAGGAAGCAAAUUCACAACCAAUCACUUACAUAAACCAACGGAAUUACAAACAGAGGUCUACGGCCAAAACGUCUACAAAGACCGGCUCUUAAAAAGGAAUUGUCCUACGACCUACAAGUCGGACAUGUUCUCCAAUCCUUAUGACUUCACCUCUGCAACUCCUCAAGGCCAACCAAUGUUAUCUGCCCGCUCCGUCCACCAAGGACCUGAAAUUUUAAUCCCACGACCGAGAUGAGACAUUGUCUCAGCAAGUUCAACCCCCUAAACCCCUAUUAGAAAGAAAAUACGCCCCGGGUGGCCUAGCCACAUCACAUAGAAGACUUACCCCGCAUUAGUUUUCAUCUGCAGGUUAGCACAGUUUGGGUGCGUUUGGUUCAGCAUUUGCAAUGGGCUUUGAGUCCAAUGCAAAUGCUGAAAGCCCAAAGCUACUUGGGAAAAAUGCAGUUGUGUUUAGUAAAAAAAAAUUGCAAAUGGACUUUGAGCUGAAUGUGCAUUUGGUAAAAAAAACUUUCACAAGGGGCUUUGAUGGGUAUUAUUUUUUUUCUUUUUUUUUUUGAAAAUUCAGCUAAACCCUUCGCCGGAUCGGCAAAGGGCUGCGGCCACCGGCAAGCCAGAUCUGGUGCCGUCUGCUGAGGUCGCCCGAGGUCGCGCGACCCCCAGCGAGGGUCGCGCAACCCAGCCGAGGGCCGCCGGAGGUCGCCCGACCUCGGGCGAUCCCCGGCGAGGGUCGCUCGACCCAGCUAAAGGCCGCGCGACCCAGGAGAUUUCCAGCAGACGAGGUUGGGGAAAUUCUGGUGUUGGAGAGGUCCAGAAGAGAGGGAAGAGAAGGGCACUUUGGCAGGGCUCCUCGGCGAUUGAGUAAACGGAAAAUAUUGAAAUGAAGCCUAUGAAAGCUUAGAAGCACGACAUUUUGUGCAAAAUGAAUAGGUUGCUCAUUUUCUCAUAAAAACAAGAAUCUUUGACCUAGGAAACGAACUCAAGAUCAUACCCACGCCAAUGAGCACACAAGAAAAUGGUUAAUGAAAACAGUUAGACUCAUGAGAUGUAACUGGCAUCGGAUGAUCCUUCUAUGNNNNNNNNNNNNNNNNNNNNNNNNNNNNNNNNNNNNNNNNNNNNNNNNNNNNNNNNNNNNNNNNNNNNNNNNNNNNNNNNNNNNNNNNNNNNNNNNNNNNNNNNNNNNNNNNNNNNNNNNNNNNNNNNNNNNNNNNNNNNNNNNNNNNNNNNNNNNNNNNNNNNNNNNNNNNNNNNNNNNNNNNNNNNNNNNNNNNNNNNNNNNNNNNNNNNNNNNNNNNNNNNNNNNNNNNNNNNNNNNNNNNNNNNNNNNNNNNNNNNNNNNNNNNNNNNNNNNNNNNNNNNNNNNNNNNNNNNNNNNNNNNNNNNNNNNNNNNNNNNNNNNNNNNNNNNNNNNNNNNNNNNNNNNNNNNNNNNNNNNNNNNNNNNNNNNNNNNNNNNNNNNNNNNNNNNNNNNNNNNNNNNNNNNNNNNNNNNNNNNNNNNNNNNNNNNNNNNNNNNNNNNNNNNNNNNNNNNNNNNNNNNNNNNNNNNNNNNNNNNNNNNNNNNNNNNNNNNNNNNNNNNNNNNNNNNNNNNNNNNNNNNNNNNNNNNNNNNNNNNNNNNNNNNNNNNNNNNNNNNNNNNNNNNNNNNNNNNNNNNNNNNNNNNNNNNNNNNNNNNNNNNNNNNNNNNNNNNNNNNNNNNNNNNNNNNNNNNNNNNNNNNNNNNNNNNNNNNNNNNNNNNNNNNNNNNNNNNNNNNNNNNNNNNNNNNNNNNNNNNNNNNNNNNNNNNNNNNNNNNNNNNNNNNNNNNNNNNNNNNNNNNNNNNNNNNNNNNNNNNNNNNNNNNNNNNNNNNNNNNNNNNNNNNNNNNNNNNNNNNNNNNNNNNNNNNNNNNNNNNNNNNNNNNNNNNNNNNNNNNNNNNNNNNNNNNNNNNNNNNNNNNNNNNNNNNNNNNNNNNNNNNNNNNNNNNNNNNNNNNNNNNNNNNNNNNNNNNNNNNNNNNNNNNNNNNNNNNNNNNNNNNNNNNNNNNNNNNNNNNNNNNNNNNNNNNNNNNNNNNNNNNNNNNNNNNNNNNNNNNNNNNNNNNNNNNNNNNNNNNNNNNNNNNNNNNNNNNNNNNNNNNNNNNNNNNNNNNNNNNNNNNNNNNNNNNNNNNNNNNNNNNNNNNNNNNNNNNCAUUUUUUUCUUCCUAAACACCGCUCAUCAAAUUUUCAAAUUUUCGAUAUUAUCCCGGCACCCAAUGAUUUCGCGAGACCCAGGCGGCGGUCGCCUGGGUCGCGCGGCCCCUGGGUCGAGUGACCUUGGUCGUCCGGCGGCCCUUGACUGGGUCGCGCGACCCUCGCCGGAGGUCGCCCGACCUCAGGCGACCUUAGCCGACAGCCACUGGCGCCAAAUCUGGCUCGCCAGCGGCCGUUGCCCUUCGCCGGUCCGGCGAAGGCCUACUCCUUUUUCACUUAAAAAAUAAAUAAAUACAGGGAUAAUAACGAAAAUAUGAAAAUUUGAUGAGGGUAGUUUAGGAAGAAAAAAAAUGUUUUCAGCAUUUCCAAGGACUGACUUUCAUUUGAAAGCUCUUUGAGAUUGGUUGCCAAACACCCUUAUUUUGGAUAAAGGGGCUUUGGGGGCUGAAUGGGCUUUCUAAAUGCCCAUCCAAACGCACCCUUUAUAUAAUUCAACCACGUGCAAUUAUGAUAACCAAACAACUAUGGCACAAUCACAUUAUCAUAACAAUUCAACCACUUGGAUCGUCUCAGCGAUCAAUCGACUCAACCGAUUACAUGUCAUUCUAACAAAUCAAUCACUGCUUCCAAUCACGAUCCUAUAGGAAGGUUUAACAACCAGUGGCAAUCACGGCCCCACUCGGUACGACCUUUAAUUAAGUGGUAAAUCUCAGCCCGAUGGGCACGGCCUCUAAUAGGUGGUCAAUCACGGCCUUAUUGGGCACGACCUCUAAUAGAUGGUCAAUCAUGGCCCCACUAGGCACGACCUCUAAUAGUUGGUCAAUCACGGCCCCACUAGGCACAACCUUUAAUAAGUUGUCAAAUACGGUUGUUCUUCCAUUAAAUUUUGACACUUGGGAUUUUAUAAAAAGAAUCCUUAUUUAUCGCAACCACACUCCAUUUACCACAAUCAAUCAUCAAAUUCAAAUUCUAAAUAUACAGCGGCAAUCGGCACGAAAUUCUUAGCAAUCGGAGACAAAAAUAAUUUUUCAGUUUUUUUAUAAAUAAUAUUAUUUUAAUAAUUUCGUAAUAUAAUAUAUUAUUAAAAAUUCCAGAAUUUUGAAACAUUUAAGAAAAUCAAAAAUAAAACCCUAUUAUGUCACAUCAAGGUUUAUUAUUAAAUAAACUCUCUUAGCCUUUAAUUAAACAUGCUUUAAAUUAAACAAAUAUCUUAAUCUAAAUCAAAAUUAAAUAAACUAAACUAACCACCUAAGCUUACUUAACUUAGACUAAGCACACUUAGGGCAUCAUUAACCAUCUAAUCAAGAUUUAGUGAGCUAAACUCACCCGAUUAACGAACCGAGAGGACCAAAACGACGGGGACCCCGAGGGGAUCGACUUUUCUCAAGGGGGGCUGAGCAUCCGGGCUGGGAAGCCGGCUAAAAUGGGCCAAAUGUCUGCUGCCAUACCCAUUUUUCCAGCUGCUGUCCGCUGCUAGUUGAGGCCGAGAAAGGGGCGGAUCCGAGUUCGGUUGGGGCGAGCAAGGGCGGCAAGGGCUAGGUGGAGGUGUACGGCAGCAGAGGGAGCUCCAGUGAUGGCCUGAGCUACUCGAAGAAGUUGCUGGAUCUCGGCUGAAGCAAGGGCGACGACGUGAGGGGGCUGAGACGCGCGAGCAGCACUGCGCGCUAGGACGGCGUCACGGCGACGAACGGCGACGGGUGGAGGCAAGGCUCCAGCUGGUGGCGUGCGACGGCCACGGCUACUCGGUUCCUUCCUCCAUUUUCCGGUCUUCGCACAGCAGAGAUGAAGGGGGAAAUCAACGAGAGAGGGAGAGGAAGGAGAGAGAAGAAGGAGAGAGAGAGAGAGAAAUGGGACCAUUCCAUUUUCUUUUUCUUUUUCUUUAAUCCAACAAAAAUGGCCCACCAUGACCUCAUGUGACAUCACCUUCCACUAAAUUCAAAUCUCCCACAACAAUCUUCAAUGGGUCCAAUUCCAUUUUCCGUCGAGGCAUAAAAUCUUGUACAAUAACUUCUUCAAUUCCACUCGAUUCCCUUCCAAUUGAAUCAAAUUGAAGUCCAUAAAAUUAAUCUAAUGUCACCACACUUCAAUUCACAUCUUCACUUAUCCAUAGAACCAACUUAAGUCCCAAAAGCACGGCCAAAAGCGGGCCUACUAAUUUCUCAAGCCAAAUUAGCCAUUCUCUGAUUUAAUUGCUGAAAAACUCUGAUUACAUGAAAAAUCUUCCGAAGAUGAGUUAAUAUUCCUAAAAUAAUUUGUGACACGCCCAGACUUCCAAUUUCUGAAUUCGAUCUCAAUUUCACAGUUGAUUUCACUCUAGCACGAUAUUAGCGCAUCCUAAUCUACCGAGUAGCUUUUAAAAAUUUGCGUGCAUUUGACCUGUGGUCGAUCAAGCUACAAUGUACAUCUUUGACACAUUGGCGACUCUCGGUUGUCAGGAUAAUCUCAAGGUUUCAAACACGGACUUUGGGUACCCAAUCGACAGAAAAGUCGGUCCAGUGCCGAUCGAUUGUGUGAUCUGGUGGAAUCACCCACACUUAAGCACAUGCCUCUGUCGAGUCGGCCUAUCUCUGAUCUCUAAUCGAUUUUUAAUUGUGCCGUAAUGACCCUUACAGAUUAGCUCGGUCGAAAAGUCGCUUCCUGGUCAAAUUAUCGAGUCUGAUGCAUUAGAAUCUCUUAACGACUUCACCUGAUAAACUAGUUUUCACAUGAGUGGCUGACUCAAGGAAAAGAACUAUAUGGGUGCCAAUGAAAUGCCCAUCUCAAUUUAUUGAAAAUAGAAUUGGAAAAAUCGGGAUGUCACAAAGAUGGUGAUGCUUUUCUAUAAUUAUCUCUUUUAUCGUUAUAUCGUAAGCGCGCGUCCAUUUAAUAUUACUCUUUUUUCUUUUCUCUUUUUCACUCCACUUUCACUUCUUUAGUGUUGCUUUCUUCCACCCAUUUCUCGUUGGUCGAUAUAGAGUUGGUUUUCCAUCUCCGUCGCGCUGCUCUCCGAGGGCUCCCAUAUAGAAAUCCUUUUCCCGUCCGCUUAUUCUGCAGUGAUCUAGGAGGUUUGAUUAAAAAAAGUAAAGGCGUGGAAUUUGGGCUCCAGAGCCUCGUUCAGCAAGACCGGGUACACAUACCGUCUUAGGUCGAAGGUUCUUGUCCCGACUACACCAGGUGGGGACUGUUGUUUUCUUGGCUACAAUCAGACCAAGUGCGCGCUUGGAGAUAAUUCCUUUUCUACCUUUUUCACUCAGACAUUUUAGGGGCUAGCACUUUUAAGGUCCUUCUUUUGUCAAUUCAGAAAGAAAUCAUUGCGAUCGAACCGUUCCUCUUUUAAGAACGAAUGGAGCCGGGCACUCCUCAAAUUUCCCAAAGCUCGAAAAGCCCCGGCUUCGUACCUUCCACGAAACAACCGGGAAUGGGGUUACCCAUUUGAAAAUUCAAUUGACGGGAGAUCUUUCCUAUCGUUUGAUUAGAAAAUUGCUUUGGAGCUAAGCUUCUUCGAAAUGGAAACAAGAACAGGGAAAAAAAUAACCUUGAAAAAUUAAUGCAGACAAAUUUUUUUAUAAUGACACGCAACGUUGAGAUAAAAAAUUUUAUAAUGACACGCAACGUUAUAUUUUUAACGUUGAGAUAUAUUUGAAAAUACUGAAGUCAACCAAAGCGGAUGGUGGAAAAUCUCGUGCGCGCGUUAUGAAGUGAGAAAAAUAAGGGAAUUGGCGACUUCAUCCAUUGUAUCCUUCCACCGUUUAUAAACUAACUUAACAAGGAAUCAAAGCAACCGCUGGAUAAACAAUUGCACUUUUCCUUGUUCACUUCUUCUUACCCAAAUCAAGAAUAUCGGACUUGGGGAAAGGCCAGCGAGCGCCAGCUGCUGGUAAGGGUCGAUGAGAGCUCGACACCCACCGCCAACAACGAGCAAGGGCUCCACGCCCAUCGCCGGCAGCAAGCGAGGGCUCCACGCUCAUCACUGACAAUGGGCAAGGGCCAUCGAGCCCUCGUUGGCCAUGGGGGAGGGGGGCCGUCCAAAUUGAGGCCCUUUAAGAAGGUCCUCGAGGGCAAAAGGGGUAGCCAAAGAAGUCAUUGAUCUAGGAGCGGUGGUGGGAGGAAGGGAUGAAGAAAGCGACGCGAGCAUCCCAGUCGUAGUCUUAUUAGAAGACGAGGUUGUUGGUUGAGCAACGGGCGGAGGUGGGGGUGGUCGCCCCUCACGACCAUCAGCGAGGUCACCCCUCGCCGGCCCUAGAUGAGAGCUCACCCACCUCACCGGCCAUUAAUAAGGGCUUGCAAGCCCUCACCUAUUGCCAGCGAGGGCUCAACGACCCUCGCCAGUCGCAACCGAGGCCACCAUCGCCAGAUCUAACGAGGGUUGGCCUACAAGCCCUCGCCCAUGGCCGACAAGGGAUUGAUGGGCCUCGCCUACUGCCAAUGAUGGGCGUCCAACCUCGCCGAUCCUCACCAAUGGCCAGUGCUCACUGGCCCUUUCCAAGUCCGAUGUUCUUGAGAAGAAGACGAAUAUGGGACGAAAAAGAUGAUGAAUAGUGCCACCAUUGACCCAAAAAAAAAAUAAUAAAGAACAGGACAACUUAAAAUUUUUUUUUAAAAAAAAGGACAAAAAUAUCCCUAAUCAAGCUACCGGAAUAUGCAUCGAAGAUGCAUUUAUUCACCGGCCGGCAAAUGAGGUCCUUCUUUGAGACUAAAUGAUCACUUUGGGUCCUUAUUUGAUACAAACUCCACUCUAGGUCCUCUUUUGAGAAAAUGAAAGCACUUUGAGUCCUUAUUUGAGACAAAUUUCACUUCAAAUUCUCUUUUGAGAAGGCAUUAUAGGUCCUUAUUUGAAAUUUUUCCAAAAAAUAAUGACUUAUAUCGCUUGAAAUAAUUAAUUAAUUAAAAAAACUUCUUUAUCAAUAAUAAUUUAAUCUUUAAUAUUUUGGCAGAUGGUAGGAAAAAAUUUUCAAAUUAUUCAUUUUUUACGAAAGAAAUGAAUUAUUUUGUGAAUAGAUAUAUAAUUUGAUAAAAAAAAUUAUAAAAUAACAGAAGAAAAGACUAGAUGGGCCACAGCAAGAUCACCUCUUAAAUAUCUCCUAAGCCCUAUAUCGUAUCUCUCUCUCUCUCUCUGUAUUGCUCGGAGCUCCAGCCAUGGAAUUCUUCUCUCUCCAGUCCGUUCUCCUCCUCUCCAUCUUCCUCUACCUCUACCUCUCCGUCUUCCGGCCACCUUCCCACAUCAAGCACACCAAGACCCCCGGCUUCCGCCUCUACCCCGUCGUCGGAGUCCUGCCGGACUUCCUCUGGAACCGCCACCGCUUCCUCGACUGGAUGGCCGGCGUCCUCCGCUCCGCCCCCACCAAUACCGUCGUCUUCUGGCGCCCCGGCGGCGUCCGCGGCGUCAUCACCGCGAACCCCGCCGUCGUGGAGCACGCGCUCAAGACCCACUUCGAGAACUACCCGAAGGGCGACAUGUUCAUCGCCCUCCUCCGCGACUUCCUCGGCGAGGGGAUCUUCAACUCCGACGGCGAGCUCUGGCGGGUCCAGCGCAAGACGGCGAGCUACGAGUUCAACACCCGGUCGCUGAGGCAAUUCGUCAUGCACAACGUGACCGUGGAGAUUGAGUCGCGGCUGGUCCCGAUCCUGUCCCGGGCCGAGGCGGCGGGCCGCGUCCUGGACCUGCAGGACCUGCUCGAGCGCUUCGCGUUCGACAACAUAUGCAAGCUCGCCUUCAACGUCGACCCCGGGUGCCUCGUCGGCGACGGCACCGGCGAGGAGGAGUUCAUGCGGGCGUUCGAGGAGGCCGCGAGGAUCAGCUCCGAGCGGUUCUUGUCCGCCUUCCCGCUGCUGUGGGUGUUCAAGAGGCGGCUCAACGUGGGGUCGGAGCGCCGGCUGAGGGAGUCGAUCGCGACCGUCCACGAGUUCGCGGAGGACAUCAUACGGUCGCGGAUGGAAGAGAGCAGGGAGGCUCACGACGAGGAUUUGCUCUCGCGAUUCAUCGGCCACGAAAGCGUAAGCCUGCUCGAUCUUGACACGAUACGUUUCGUUCACAAAUUUUGUUACUUUUCUAUAGUUCAUUGGAUAUUUUCUAUACGUUUUAUCGUGGCAUUUCACAUAAUGUCAAACACCAACAUAAGCCGUCGUUAUCGAAUUCGAAAAUCAAGCUGCGAUCUAGCUUGCUUGAUCGACGAAAGAGCUGCCCGGUUGAUGAAAUUAGCGCGAACUUGUUAAAUCGAAUUUGAUCUGACUACGUGCGGAUCGCCAGGUCUAUGAGAAUGGCUCUGCCUCGACCGAGUUCCUCCGAGACAUCGUGAUCAGCUUCAUCCUCGCGGGGCGCGACACCACGUCGUCGGCUCUGACCUGGUUCUUCUGGCUGCUCUCGCUCCACCCGGAAGUGGAGCGGAAGAUCUUGAGCGAGCUCGAGAAAAUCCGGAAGCAAAACGGGAAGAGUUCUGGCGACCCGUACAGUAUGCAUGAACUGAGGGACAUGCACUACCUGCACGCGGCCAUCUCGGAGGCGAUGCGGUUGUAUCCGCCUGUGCCGGUGGACACAAAGGCCUGCCUGGAGGACGACGUCUUGCC